rnacentral:rRNA from 1 species
CCAGGGAAUGCCCUCAGUUAACGGGCGGAGGUGAAGGCGGCAAAAGCUCAAAUUUGAAAUCCCCCGGGUAAUUGUAAUUUGAAAAGACUUGGGUCCGGCCGGCGGGGGUUAAGUCCACUGGAAAGUGGCGCCACAGAGGGUGACAGCCCCGUGAGCCCCUCUAACGCCUCUACCCCAAAUCUCCAAGAGUCGAGUUGUUUGGGAAUGCAGCUCUAAGUGGGUGGAAAAUUCCAUCUAAAGCUAAAUACCGGCGAGAGACCGAUAGCGAACAAGUACAGUGAUGGAAAGAUGAAAAGCACUUUGAAAAGAGAGUGAAAAAGUACGUGAAAUUGUUGAAAGGGAAGGGCUUGCAAGCAAACACUUAACUGGGCCAGCAUCGGGGCGGCGGGAAACAAAACCACCGGGGAAUGUACCUCUCGAGGAUUAUAACCCCGGUCUUUUUUUCCUUGUCGCCCCGAGGCCUGCAAUCUAAGGAUGCUGGCGUAAUGGUUGCAAGUCGCCCGUCUUGAAACACGGACCAA